rnacentral:lncRNA from 1 species
UAAACUUUAUUCCUUAUUCUUAUGUUUUACAACAUGCUGAUCACUUUUCUCUUCUAUGGCAACAUCAAAUUCUCACUCUAACAUGUACUUGUGACUAUUAGGUAUUUUUACCGAUUAAGCCAUUUUACUCGUUUUUGCUUAAAAUCAAGUAGUACAAGUUGUCUAACAUAAUUUAAAACUUCAUAUUCUAUCAUAAAACAUUAAAAUACACAAAUUUCACCCAUGGGUAUUUUUCCAAAUAUAAACCCUAGGUUAAAUUAUUGCUAACAUAAGCUUUAUCGAGUUACCGGGAUCUCAAAAACGUAAAAAUCAUUAAAAACGGGGUUUGGAAUCACUUACUAUGGAGCUUGGAAGCUUGAAACAAACCCUAACUAUGGAGAACCCUUGAAAUUUCGGCCUAAUGAAGAAGAUGGACAAAAAUUGGCUUUUAAUUUUGUUUUUAAUUCAUUUUAAUAACUAAAUGACCAAAAUACCCUUACUACUAAACUUUCCAAAAAUUCCUUCCAUGUCCUAAUUUUGUCCAUGAACUUAAAAUUGGUCAAAUUUCUAUUUAAGACCUCCUCAUUAAUAUUCCAAAACAAUUUCAUACUAAAAACUUCUAGAAUGCAAGUUUUGCAACUUAUUCGAUUUAGUCCCUACUUUCAAUUUAAGCACUUUAGGCAUAGAAUUGCAUCACGAAAUUUUCACACAAUCAUGCAAUCAUAUCAUAAUCAUCAAAAUAAUUAUAAAAUAAUUAUUUCUAUCUUGGAUUUAUGGUCACGAAACCACUAUUCCGAUUAGGCCCUAAUUCGGGAUAUUACAACUCUCCCCCCUUUAAGGAUUUUCGUCCUCGAAAAUCUUACCGGUAAACAGAUGUGGGUAUUGAUUUCUCAUAGUUUCUUCGGAUUCCCAUGUAGCUUCUUCUACUCCAUGCCUUUGCCACAACACCUGCACAAGUGCAACAUUUUUAUUCCUUAGUUGUUUGACCUCUCGAGCUAAAAUCUUAAUCGGUUCUUCUUUGUAGGUCAUAUCUGGUUGUAGUUCAAUUUCUGUCGGUGAAACUACAUGUGAAGGAUCCGAACGAUACCGAUGUAACAUAGAUACGUGGAACACAUCAUGAAUCUUCUCUAAUUCAGGUGGUAAUGCUAGCCAAUAUGCUACCGGUCCAACUUUUUCAAUUACUUCAUACGGCCCAAUAAAACGCGGACUUAAUUUGCCCUUCCGUCCAAAUCUAAGGACUUUCUUCUACGGAGACACCUUUAAAAAUACUUUAUCACCAACUUGAAAUUCAAUGUCCUUUCGUUUUAGAUCUGCAUAAGAUUUCUGUCUAUCUGAAGCAGCUUUCAAACAAUCUCGAAUUACUUUAACUUUUUCUUCAGUUUCUUUUAUUAGAUCAACUCCAUAAAUCUGAUUUUCCUUGAGUUCAGUCCAAUACAAAGGCGUUCAACACUUACGACCAUACAAUGCUUCAUAAGGUGCCAUUUUCAAGCUCAUCUGAUAACUAUUGUUGUAAGCAAAUUCUACCAACGGCAAAUAUCUUUCCCAACUUCCUUGAAAUUCCAAUACACAACAUCUGAGCAUGUCUUCAAGAAUCUGAAUUACUCUCUCUGAUUGUCCAUCAGUUUGUGGAUGAAAAGCAGUACUGAAAUUUAACUUUGUACCUAAUGCGUCUUGCAACUUUUGCCAAAACCGCGAGGUAAACCUUGGAUCUCUAUCUGAAAUAAUCGAUAAUGGUAUUCCGUGUAAUCUAACAAUUUCUCUAAUAUACAGUUCAGCCAACUUGUUAAGAGAAUAAUCCGUACGUACCGGGAUAAAAUGAGCCGACUUAGUUAAUUUGUCAACUAUUCCCAGAUGGCAUCUUUCUUUCCCGGAGUCAAUGGCAAUCCUGAAACAAAAUCCAUAGUAAUCCGAUCCCAUUUCCAUUCAGGAACCAUAAUAGGCUGGAGUAAUCCUGAAGGUACUUGGUGUUCAGCUUUCACCUGUUGACAAAUUAAGCAUUUGGACACAAACUCUGAUAUAUCUCUUUUCAUUCCAUUCCACCAAUACAUUUUCUUCAAGUCAUUAUACAUUUUCGUACUACCCGGAUGAAUCGAGAAAUAACCACUAUGUGCUUCUUGUAGGAUCUUUUGAAUCAAUUCCUCAUUCUUCGGUACACAAAUCCGAUCUUUAAACAUUAAGCACCCAUCAGAACCAAUUUUGAAAUCUGACUCUGUAUCAACUUCACACUGUUUUCUCUUGGCUUGCAAAUCUUGAUCAUCUUUCUGAGCUUCAGAAAUCUCUUGCAAAAACAUUGGUUUUGCUCUUAACUCUGCUAGAAUCGAACCGUCAUCUGACAUUUUCAACUGAGUGUUCAUAACUCUCAAAGCAAACAACAACUUUCUGCUCAAAGCAUCAGCAACCACAUUCACUUUUCCCGGAUGAUAAUCAAUAACAAGCUCGUAAUCUUUCAAUAAUUCCAACCAUCUUCGUUGUCUCAAAUUCAAGUCUUUUUGUGACAUCAAGUACUUAAGACUUUUGUAGUCGGUAUAUACCUGACAUUUUUCACCAUACAAAUAAUGUCGCCAAAUUUUCAAAGCAAACACCACCGCAGCCAUUUCCAAAUCGUGAGUAGGAUAAUUCCUCUCAUGAGGUUUUAACUGCCUCGAAGCAUAUGCCACCACUUUUCCUUCUUGCAUGAGCACACACCCCAAACCAUUUAGAGAAGCAUCACUAUACACCACAAAUUCUUUACCUAAUUCGGGUUGUACCAACACUGGCGCUUCAGUUAAUAACUUUUUCAAUUCUUCAAAACUCUGUUGACAUUCUUCCGUCCAUUCAAAUUUAACAUCCUUUCGGAGUAAUCUAGUUAUAGGAGCAGCAAUUGUAGAAAAUCCAUUUACAAACCGCCGAUAAUACCCAGCUAGCCCCAAGAAACUUCUAACUUCAGUUACGUUUUUCGGUGGUUUCCAAUCAACAAUGGCUGAAAUUUUACUAGGAUCAACCCGUAUACCAUCACCUGAAACAAUAUGACCCAAAAAUCCAACUUCUCGAAGCCAAAAUUCACUUUUACUAAACUUAGCAUAUAGCUGCUUAUUUCUCAAAGUUUGCAAAACUAUCCUCAAAUGCUCAGCAUGCUCUGUAUCAUAUUUUGAAUAAAUUAAAAUAUCAUCUAUAAACACCACAACAAAUUUGUCCAAGUAUGGCUGAAAUAUGCGAUUCAUUAAAUCCAUAAACAUAGUAGGAGCAUUUGUCAAUCCGAAUGGCAUAACUAAAAACUCAUAAUGAGCAUACCUUGUUCUAAAAGCAGUUUUAGGCACAUCCGACUCUUUUACCCGCAGUUGGUAAUACCCAGAUCUCAAGUCAAUCUUUGAAAACCAUGUCGCUCCUUUUAGCUGAUCAAACAAAUCAUCAAUUCUUGGAAACGGAUACUUGUUUUUGAUUGUCACCUUGUUUAACUGCCGAUAAUCAACACACAACCUCAUAGAACCAUCCUUCUUUUUCACAAAUAACACGGGAGCACCCCAAGGUGAAAAACUCGGUCUCACAAAACCUUUAUCAGUCAACUCUUGCAACUGCGACUUUAAUUCCUUCAACUCUGCUGGUGCCAUUCUAUAUGGAGCAAUCAAAAUCGGAGCUGUUCCCGGUAUCAAAUCAAUACCAAAUUCUACUUCCCUGACUGGAGGCAAACCCGGCAAUUCUUCUGGAAAUACGUCUGCAAAUUCACACACAACCGACACUGAUUAAACUUUCUUUUCAACUUCUUUUGUAUUAAUUACAUACGCCAAAUAAGCUUCAUAACCCUUUCUCAGAUAUCUUUGAGCCGACAUUGAAGAAACCACACUAGGCAAUGCCUCUGAUUUAUCUGAUUCAACCCGCAGAGUUUCACCAUUUCCACACUUUAAUUCUAUAAUCUUUUCUUUGAAAUUUAUUUUAGCAUCAUGCAAUGUCAACCAAUCCAUACCCAAAAUAACAUCAAACUCAUCAAACGACAACAACAUUAAGUCGGCCGGAAAGUAAUGAUCCCGAAUCAUUAAAGGACAUUUCUUACAUACUUUAUCGACAGUCACACAUUUGCCUAACGGAUUCGACACUCUAAUCAUAAAUUCUGUGUUCUCAAUAGGUAUAUUCAUACUAGACACCAAUUUCAUGCACACAUAUGAAUGAGUAGAACCGGGAUCAAUCAAAGCAAUAACAUUAACAUUAUAGAGGGAAAAUGUACCGGUAAUCACAUCAGGUGAGGAAGCAUCUUCACGUGCUUUAAUAGCAUAAGUUCUAGCUGGAGCCCUUCCUUCAGGUCUAACUGGUGCAUCCCUGGCUUCAUUCUUACUGCUUGCUUCGCUCCCAGCUUUUCUUGGAUAUCUUCCUCUCGAAUCCGCCCCACUUGUUUUUGUAUUCUGAAAAUUUUCUUUUUCAGCUCUCUCUGGGUAGUAUCUAAUAAAAUGAUCCGAAGAACGACGUCGAAAACAUUCAUUUGCUCUACACGGACCAAAAUGAUUUCUACCACACCGCUGGCACUCAGGUUUAACAAAUCUCGAGUUCCCUACACUGACUGCCGAAGUAGUCUGGGAUUUAGGACCCACAUUUUGCUUCUUAUAAUUCCCAUAUGAUUGCCCAGCUGAAGCUUGGGAACGAGGAUUCAUAUUCCUUGACUUUCUAGGUUGCUGUGAAAAUGAACCGCUCAUCGGUCUUUUCUUCCAAUUUCUAGUCUCAGCCUCUACCUUUUUCUUUUCUUUAAGUAAUUCUUCGGCCUUACAAGCUCGAUCAACCAAUACUACCAUUUCUUUUAAUUCAAGAAUUCCAACAAAUACCUUGAUGUCUUCGUUGAGCCCGUCUUCAAAUCGUCGGCACAUCUUGGCCUCUGUAGGAACAUACUCUCUGGCAUACUUACUUAAUCGAACAAACUCUCUUUCAUAUUCUGUAACCGUCAUAUUACAUUGCUUCAGCUCAAGAAAUUCUUUACGCCUCUGAUCAAUAAAUCUUUCACUAAUAUAUUUCUUCCGAAACUCUUCUGGAAAGAAUUCCCAAGUUAUUUUCUCUUUCGGUACCACCGAAAUCAAAGUCUUCCACCAAUUAUAAGCUGAAUCCCUCAACAAAGAUAUAGCGCAUUUCAAACAUUCUUCAGGUGUACAAGAUAAUUCAUCAAAUACCCGGAUUGAAUUUUCAAGCCAGAACUCUGCUCUCUAGGCAUCAUCAUCAAUAUUUGCUUUAAAUUCUCCGGCCCCUUGCUUGCGAAUUCUAUCAACUGGAGUUCUGUGAAAUUUCAUCAGAUCCAUACCUUGAGGCAUCGGGGGUACAGGUUGAGGAAUUGGGGGAGGUGGGGGAGGUUGUACAUUUGGGCUCGUACGAACGAACUCAGUGUACCAUGCACUCAUCAUUUGGAGAAAGGCUUCCCGACCCCUUUCUCCUCCUCCCUGACCAACAAUAGGAGGUGGAUUUUCAGUCGGCGCUGCUCCUUCAGCCGGAGCUGGCGCAUUACUCUCUACUUCAUCUGCCACAGCUGGAUCAGGAUCCAUUUACUAUAAAAAAAAAUCAUUUAAAAAGGUCAGAAGUCGUCACAUUAUCACAAUUUAUACAUAUGACAUGUAUAGCAAAAUCCGUACAUACAACACGUAGUCUGAGAACCGACUAAACCUGCUCUGAUACCACUAAAUGUAACGCCCCCAUGCCCUAGACCGUCGCCGGAGUCGAGUAUGAGGUGUUACUAAGCUUAAUUUAACAUAUUUAGAACUUUGGAUUUUUUUUUCUACAUUCACAGCUUUUAAGCUACUUGCAUCAUAGUCACAAGAAAAAUCAUAUCUCGAGUUACAAAACUCAAAAUCAAGAUCCAUAAAUUUUCCCUAAAUCUAGACUCAUAUACCUAUCUAAUAAUAUUUUUUCAGAAUUUUUUGUUCUACCAAUUAGUACAGUUUAUUAUUUAAAGUUACCCCUAUUUCAGGACUUGACUGGUCUGACCUCUAUUUACUACGAACCACAUUUAUCUCUGUAAAAUAUCCAUAUGACUAUGAGGUUUAUUUCUACUAAAACUAGACUCAAUAAGGAUUCUGAGGAUAUAAAAUAUACCACCUAAUUAUAUCUUUAUAAUUUAUGAUGAAUUUAUAAAGUUGGAACAGGGGAUUCAAAAACUGCUAUGACCCUAUUUCACUAAAAUUCAAAUAUCUUCUAACAUAUAAUUCCUUUACCUGUUUCAUUUGUUUCAUGUGAAACUAGACAUAAUAAGAUUCAAUUUGAUAUGUAGUCCAUCGCCAAAUUCAAUUUCUAUGAUUUUUAGUAAAUUUUCAAACUCGCAUCAGUGUUGCUGCAGUAUUCUGUUUAUGGCAAAUUUUAUCCUUUUUAUGAGUUUUUAUGCACUAAGUAUCUUAAUAGUUUUCCUUAACAUCAAACAUAAUCUACACUAACCAUUUUCAUAAUUUAUCAUUAUCAAGCAUUUCCUCAACCAUUCCAUCACCAUACCAUAAGAUCAUUUACACAAAAAAGGUAUAUUGCUAUACAUGCCAUACUUAAAUUUACAAGCCAUUUACCAAAAGUCUUCGGAUAGUGUGACUGAGCCUUCGACCUAUCCCGACUCCUGAGCUGGCUUGUCCAAAACUACAAUGAGUAAGAAGGAGGGAGUAAGCAUAAAUGCUUAGUAAGUUCAUAUGCAAAUAAUAAGUAACAUAACAAACAGUUAUACCAAUCAACAUUAGCAUACAUCACUAAAACACAUAUCACAUUUCUAAACAUCAUUCCUCAUCAUCUUAUUACCUUAUAGUGGUUGUAUCAAUACUCAACCCGAGGGUUAAAUACAUACCUGUCCAAAAUAACCAUUUCACAUCACUCACCAAUACUUCUCUUUACAUCUCGAAUAUUCCUCCAUUGAGUAGAACUUUACCCGUUGAACACAUCGGAAUAUAAUUCGGAUACAUGGAUAAUUUGCAUAUAAGUGCCACAUAUUCAAUCAAGCAAUCAUGUAACCCGCCCAUAAGCGAACUCGGACUCAACUCAACGAGCUCGGGCGUUCGCAUCCAUAAGUGAACUCGGACUCAACUCAACGAGUUCGGAUGCCUAGUUACAUCUCACGAACUCGGACUCAACUCAACGAGUUCGGACAUUCGCAUCCAUAAGUGAACUCGGACUCAACUCAACGAGUUCGGAUGCUCAACCAUCCUAGUGACAUGUCACUUGUAUCCUAAUCUAUUCCUAAGGUUCAAACGGGCUUUUUCCUCGAACACUUAUCCUUGCCGUCUUCCGUAGAAUGCCGAAAUCAAUACUCGGUAACAAUUAUAUUUAACAAGUAGUUCACAUAAUUUACAUAUUAUUUGAAAUUAACCACAAAUCAUACAUUUCAUAAUAAAAUUUAGCAUAAGAUAUAAUUAACAUCAAUAACUUAAAAAUAACCAUUAUGCUACAUUAUUUACACAUGAACUUACCUCGGUACCAAAAUACAAAGAUUUUGCAAUUUAGUCCACAAUCUUUUCUUUUCCUCGAUUGUGGUCGAUUCCACGUCUUUCUUGAUCUAAAAUAACACAUUUAGCUUAUUUAAUACUCACAUUAUCAAAUUAAUCCUUAACUCAAAUUUUGGCAAAAUUACAAUUUUACCCUAAACUUUUGCAUAUUUACAUUUUUUCCCCUAAGCUCGGGAUUAAACUUUAUUCCUUAUUCUUAUGUUUUACAACAUUCUGAUCACUUUUCUCUUCUAUGGCAACAUCAAAUUCUCACUCUAACAUGUACUUGUGACUAUUAGGUAUUUUUACCGAUUAAGCCCUUUUACUCGUUUUUGCUUAAAAUCGAGUAGUACAAGUUGUCUAACAUAAUUUAAAACUUCAUAUUCUAUCAUAAAACAUCAAAUACACAAAUUUCACCUAUGGGUAUUUUUCCAAAUAUAAACCCUAG